GCACCAAUCACCCCGGCUCCAGUGACGGCUGCUAUCCUCGGACUCCAGCCUCGCCUGCAUGUGGUGCCUGAGACCUGGGCAAGCUGCAGCCACUCUGCCCCUGCAUGGGAGGGUGUGUGGGAGCCGAGGAAGGUGCUGAACGGUGAGUGGACCAGAUGGAUUGCUCCAUGCUCCGUAUCCCUCGUCUGUUCUGCCACCACGACCCUCGGCGAUGCCUUAGGCCUCUCCUCAGAGAGGUACGGAAGUGACACGUGCAGGGGGUGAACAGUUCAGGUCAAACAGCUCGCCGACUACAGAGCUGGGCACACCCACGCUCCUCCCUGAACUCCCCCAUCCUGCCAGCGGACCAGAACUCAGGCCGUACUUGGAUGUCUCUGCAGCCCUGAGCUGCGCCCUGGGGGAUCCCAGACACAGAAAUGAGAGCAAGAAAAGGAAAGUAGAAAAACGUGUUCCUGUCAUCUCCACUCUGCUGCAGGACGUCUGUCCCCUCCCUCUCUUCUUGCCUCCCUCCAAAUAUCAGCCUCCAGCUCCUCCAUCUUCACUCCUCUCUCCAGACCUUGGCUUCGGGAGUCUGAGUGCUCGCUUCUCUGUUUCCUGCGCAUCACGCCCCCAUCGUGAGUAGCUGUUUG
rnacentral:lncRNA from 1 species